rnacentral:rRNA from 1 species
CCCUUAGAUGCUCUGGGCCGCACGCGCGCUACACUGGUCGAUGCAACGAGUUUCUUUCCUUGGCCGACAGGCCUGGGCAAUCUUUGAACAUCGAUCGUGAUCGGGAUAGAUUCUUGUAAUUUUUGAUCUUAAACGAGGAAUUCCUAGUAAACGCAAGUCAUCAGCUUGCAUUGAUUACGUCCCUGCCCUUUGUACACACCGCCCGUCGCACCUACCGAUUGAAUGGUCCGGUGAAAUCUCGGGACGGCGGCUUGGUCGCUUGCGUCCGACUGCUGAAACUUGAUUAAACCAUAUCAUUUAGAGGAAGGUGAAGUCGUAACA